CGCCGUCUGUGGGAAACGACGGAGAUCUUUUCAUCACCGGAGUUUUCACUCUUAAAGAAACCCACUGAGAUCCACGAUGGCUAAUCACCAGGAAAGUAACCUUAACGUCCCAAAUGACCUAAGCUCUGCCCAAGAGGGGCAACAAUUCUCCUUUUCUAGUCCUACGGCAUUAAACAACCAAACACCUGUUCCUCUUAAUCCCUCGCCAAGUUUGGCAGGGAAUACUCCCGCUGUCACCUUGUCUAACCAAGAUCUUCAAAACAUGGCUUUCCAGUUACAGAACACAGCCCACUGGUUGGGGUAGAUAAUGCAACAGAGAGGCCUCAACACCCCAGCAAAUACACUCCCGGUUGUAGAGGAACCUCAGACCAAUGAACCCCGACCUGCACCUGACCGUCUUCAAACCAGCAGCCGUGAUACUGAAGAAAGAGGGAGAAGAGCCGGCGAAGAGGAAGGACCGGAGGCCCGAAUCCAUGGGAGGAGGGCGAGAGAGAUGAU
rnacentral:lncRNA from 1 species